rnacentral:rRNA from 1 species
UACGUAGGUGGCAAGCGUUGUCCGGAAUCAUUGGGCGGAAAGAGCGUGUAGGCGGCCCGGUAAGUCCGCUGUCAAAGUCAAAGGCUCAACCUUUGAAUGUCAGUGGAUACUGCCGGGCUAGAGUCCGGAAGAGGCGAGUGGAACUCCUGGUGUAGCGGUGGAAUGCGCAGAUAUCAGGAAGAACACCAACGGCGAAGGCAGCUCGCUGGGACGGUACUGACGCUGAGACGCGAAAGCGUGGGGAGCGAACAGG